rnacentral:rRNA from 1 species
GACGAACGCUGGCGGCGUGCUUAACACAUGCAAGUCGUACGGUAAGGCCCUUUCGGGGGUACACGAGUGGCGGACGGGUGAGUAACACGUGAGUAACCUGCCCACCACUUUGGGAUAACGCUAGGAAACUGGUGCUAAUACUGGGUAUGUGACCCUGCUGCAUGGUGGGGGUUGGAAAGCUCCGGCGGUUGUGGAUGGAGUCGCAGCCUAUCAGCUUGUUGGUGGGGUAGUGGACUACCAAGGCGGCGACGGGUAGCCGGCCUGUGAGGGUGACCGGCCACAUUGGGAGUGAGAGACGGCCCAGACUCACACGGGAGGCAGCAGUGGGGAAUAUUGCACAAUGGGCGCAAGCCUGAUGCAGCAACGCCGCGUGCGGGAUGACGGCCGUCGGGUUGGAAACCGACUUCAGCAGGGACGAAGCUUUUUGUGACGGUACCUGCAGAAGAAGCACCGGCUAACUACGUG